rnacentral:rRNA from 1 species
GAAUAUUGGACAAUGGGCGAAAGCCUGAUCCAGCCAUGCCGCGUGAGUGAUGAAGGCCCUAGGGUUGUAAAGCUCUUUCGGCGGGGACGAUAAUGACGGUACCCGCCGAAGAAGCCCCGGCUAACUUCGUGCCAGCAGCCGCGGUAAUACGAAGGGGGCUAGCGUUGCUCGGAAUCACUGGGCGUAAAGGGCGCGUAGGCGGAUCUUUAAGUCAGAGGUGAAAGCCCAAGGCUCAACCUUGGAAUUGCCUUUGAUACUGAAGAUCUUGAGACCGGUAGAGGUAAGUGGAACUGCGAGUGUAGAGGUGAAAUUCGUAGAUAUUCGCAAGAACACCAGUGGCGAAGGCGGCUUACUGGACCGGUUCUGACGCUGAGGCGCGAAAGCGUGGGGAGCAAAC